CAAGGACAGGCAGUCUGAACAGAGUUGUCAUCAUUGUCUAAUUAUUCUUGGUGAUGGGGUCUCGCUCUAUUGCCCAGGCUGAAGGGCAGUGGCACGAUCUCGGCUCAUUGCAACCUCUGCCUCCUGGACUCAAGCGAUUCUCUUGCUUCAGCCUCCUGAGUAACUGGGAUUACAGGCACACACCAUCACACCCGGCUAAUUUGUGUAUUUUUAGUAGAGAUGGGGUUUCUCCAUGUUGGCCAGGCUGAUCUCAAACUCCUGACCUCCAGUGAUCUGCCUGCCUUGGCAUCCCAAAGUGCUGGGAUUACAGGCACGAGCCACAAAUCUUUUAUUCUUAUAAGGACACCAGUCACAGUGGAUUAGAACCCAGUCAUAUGACCCAAUUUAAACUUAAUUACCUCUUUAAAGGACCUAUCUCCAAACACAGUCACAUCAACAUAUGCGAGGUAGGACAUCAACAUAUGAUUUUUGGGGGAAGAGAAUUCAGCCCAUUAUAGUCACCAGGCAAACAGAGGCAGUAUAGACCAAGGGUUAAAUGUACUAUGUGUAGAGACAGACUAGAUUUGGAACUCUGACACUGCCACUUAAAAUCAUGUGGGCC
rnacentral:lncRNA from 1 species